UAAAUAAGUGGAUGAUCUGAGAAGUUCUAGAAUACAAGAAAAAUAGAAAAUAUCCUUACACUUUCCUUUCUCUCCUCUCACUAUUAGACCAGAGUAAAAUCAUACAAAUGCACGGCGAUUCAAGUUGUUUUGGCGUUUAACAUGGUAUCAGAGCUCAGAAUCGUGUAGCUCUCACUCACAACUACCUUUCGAUCCUAUACUCGAGGCAUUUGUCGACAGUUCGUAUUCCCACAGUUUCUUUUGUCAUUUUGAUCUUUUUGGUGAGAAUUUAGUGAGUAUGUUGAGCAAGGUUUUUAUUUCUUCAAGCUAUCGAAGAAGGACGGUAACAUUUUUGUUAUGGACUUAUGGACUUUUUCUUUUCUAGUAUUGAGCUCUCACUGUUGUGUAUUGAACUAGCAGGACCUGUAUAUUGUUGGUUUGGAUGUGUUAACCGGUUAUGUUGCUGAUUUUAACUGUCUAUCGAUUUGUUGGAAUCUGUAUAUUGGUGGUUAGCUGAUUAUAGUGUCGGUUUAGCUGAUUUUAGUUGUUUUUUGGUUGUUUUUUUACUAGGUGUUAUGGGGGAUAACACCACUACUGCUUUCUCUGAUAAAUUUACCCUCUUCUUCAUCAACCCUUCUUACCUAUUCGAUAAUCCUAACACUUCUAUAGUUUCUCCUACCUUUGAUGGAAACUAUUUUGCUGCUUGAAGGAGGAAUAUGCAUGUGGUUCUCUCAGCCAAAAACAAGCUCGACAUAAUCACUGGAAAAAAUUCCCAACCAUAAAAAAUUUCCCCAUAUUAUUUAGGAUGGUAACGAUGUAAUGAUAUGCUAAUAGCCUGGAUGAUAAAUUCGUUAUCCAGGAAAAUUGAACUUAGUUUAAUAGGAUACACUACUGCUAAAGAAAUUUGGCGGGAUCUCAAUGAACAUUUUGGGCAAUCAAAUAAUUCCAAAUAUAUUCAAAUCCAGAGAAAAAUCAGUUCUAUUACUCAGGGUUCCUCAGGUAUAAUGAGUUAUUUCACCAAAUUACGAAUUCUAUAGGAUGAACUUCAUACCUCUUAUGUGUGUCCCAACUGCACAUGUGGUACUCUACCAAAAUUGUUGAAAAAGAACAACUAUUUCAGUUCCUAAGUGGUUUAAAUGAAUGUUACUCAUCUUGCAAAUCCAAUAUCUUAAUGAUGUCUCCUUUGCCCUCUAUCAGUAAAGCAUAUUCUAUGUUGCAACAUGAUGAACAUCAAAAGAAACAUUCCCCACAUAUUCUCAGUUUCUCAAUUUUUCAACUGAGUUUUUAUCCUUUCUAGCAUCCACUAGCUCUUCUAAUUCUUAUAAGAGGAAGGUUUAAGCUGGUCCAAAUCAUAGAAUUCAUUUUGACUCAAGAAGAAGGAACACUUAUUAUCAUUAGAAGAUCCAGUUUGAGUUCAGGAAAGGAAAUUCUGGCGUUAUUGCUACUGACCACUGCAAGUACUGCGAAAGGUCUGGUCAUGUUAUUGAUGAUUGUCAUAAACUUCAUAGGUUGUCAGCAGAUUUUAAAUUCACUAAGAAAAAAAAAGCCUCUACAUUAUGUGUACAGAAUGUAAAAUCUACAUCUGAAUCUAGAUCUUUUUCAUUUGUUCUUGUUGGUUUCAAUAAUGACUAAUAUCAACACUAUCAAUAUUUGCUCAGUUUACAACAGUAGUUUUCUUCUUCUAAAGGAACCUUUGAUGAAAAUGUUGUUUUUAGUUCUUUUGAAGGUUUGGUUAGCAGCUCUACUGUUAAUAAUAUUGAUUCAUAUAUAUGUGUAGCAUCUUAACUAUGUAGUUCUAGUGUUUAGAUUUUAGAUUCAGGGGCAACUAACCACAUGACCCCAUAUAAACACCUCUUACAUAACAUACAACCCUUAUCCACUCUAUAUCUAAUCACUCUUCCCAAUGGGUACAAAGUGAAAGUCAUAACCACUAAAUUUUUAAAAUUCAGACAUGAUUUAAUUCUUCACAAUGUACUCCUUGUUCCUUAUUUUUUAUUUUAAUUUGAUUUAUAUUCAUAAAUUACUUGUGCAACUUCAGUGUUCUGCCAUUCUUAUAAUUUCUGCUUGCUUUUUAUAGGGUCUUUCUCUGAAGAGGCCAUUAAAAAUUGGUAAAGUGGGUAAUGGGUUGUAUUUUCUUUAUCAAGAUCACUCUGUUGCACCAUCUUCUAGUUCUUCUACUCAUCGGUUACCUAUUUCUAAUAAUUUUAGUAAUUUUUCAAUUCCCAGAUGUGAUUUUGAUGAUUUUUUCAUUCUUUGUUCAUCUAGGACUUGUGUUACAUACACUCUAAAUAGUGAUCCUUGUAUUUCUAAUACCACCUCUUUUAUACAUAUUUCAAUUACUAAUAAUCAGAUCUUUUCUGGCAUCAAAGGUUGGGUCAUUUACUUUUUCACAAAAUGAAGUCUAUACGUUGUUUAGCUGAUCAAUUAUAUUUUAAACAAUAAUUUUUGUGUCCAGUUUAUUCUAUGACUAGACAACAAAGGUCCUCAUUUCCUAUGCGUUCCAUCAAGUCAACUGUUUCUUUUCAAUUGGUACAUGUAGAUAUAUGAGGCCCUUACAACACAAAAACCUAUAACAAUUAUAGAUAUUUUUUGACUCUUAUAGGUGAUUUUUCUAAAGUAACAUGGACACAUUUAUUGUCAUGUAAAAGCAAUGACCUUUCUGUUCUAAAAACCUUUGCGAACAUAAUUCAAACUCAUUUUUGAAAAUUUGUUCAGACUUUUAGAACAGAUAAUGUCCUUGAAUUAGGAGGUAGACCAUGGAAUACUUCAUCAAACCUCCAUUCCUCAUACCCCCAACAAAAUGGAGUUGUGGAGAGGAAACAUAAGCAUCUACUUGAAGUAUCUAGACCACUCCUCUUUUAAUUCAAUCUUCUUAAAAAAUAUUCGGGUGAAUGUAUUUUGACAGCCACAUAUCUUAUUAGCAGAUUACUUUCCACUGUUUUACACAAUUUAUCCCCCAUUGAGAGAUUGUAUGGCUCUCCUCCCUCGUACAACCAUCUCAAAUCAUUUGGCUGCCUUUGCUAUACUACCUUUCCUAAAAUAGGUAAGGAUAAAUUUCAAUCAAGGUCCAUCUUUGUUGUAUUUUUUGGUUACCCUUCUGAUUAGAAAACAUACAAACUCUUAGACCUUAACUCACGCUCUAUUUUCUACUCUAGAGAUGUUAUAUUCCAUAAAAAUAUAUUUUCCUAUCAUACUCUGGAUUUUCUUCAGUAUCUCCUAUGCUCACAUCUCCUUUUGUAGACACUCUUCCCACUACCACUUCUAUACCAAUUGUUGUCUCUUCUUCUAUUCCUACUCCUACAGCUACACCAACUUCUUCUUCUACCAUUUCUUCUCCUGCCCCACUUAGUUCUGUUGUAUCUGCUCCCUUAAGGAAGUGCACCAGAAUUACUCACAAACCUUCACACCUUACUGAUUAUGUUUCUAACUUAAUCCUUCCUAACUCUGUCUCUAUUGGUCCUCAGCCUUCUCCUAGUGCAGUUUACAUGCAUGAACCUUAAUUUUAUCAACAAGUUACCCCUCACCCUAUUUGGCAAGAAGCAAUAUUGAAAGAAUUCCAAUCUCUUGAGGUCAAUCAAAUAUUGGAUAUUGUUUAUCUCCCACCCCAUAAAAAGACAAUUCCAUAUAAAUAGGUCUACAAAAUCAAACACAAGUAUAAUGGCUCUAUUGAGAGGUACAAAGCUAUACUUGUCAUACAGGGGACACACAAAAGGAAGGUAUCGAUUACAACGAGACCUUUUCCCCUGUUGUAAAGCUUACCAUUAUUAAAUACCUUUUAUUUUUGGCUAUUAAAAAGUAUUGGACUGUUUUUCAACUUGUCUUAAACAACGCUUUCCUCUAUGGUCAUCUUAAUGAGGAGGUUUAUAUGAAAAUUCUUUUGGGCCUUCAUGUUUCUACUUCUUCCCCUACACCCUUAGUUUUUCGCCUAAAAAAGAGUCUUUAUGGGAUCAAAUAGGCUUUCCCCUAAUGGUUCUCUCAUUUAUCCGAGGCUUUAUUAUCUAAAGGAUUCUCUUAUAGCAGAAAUGUUUAUUCCUUUUUCACAAAGGGAUCUUUUGAUUCUCUCAUUAGUAUUAUUGUUUACGUUGAUGACAUACUACUUGCUGGGUCUGAUGUGUCUUAGUUGACUGCUCUCAAAUCUUUCUUUGAUGCGGAAUUUAAGAUUAAGGAUUUUGAAAUUGUUCACUAUUUGGGGGCUGGAAAUUAACACUACCCCUACUGGUUAUGUAACGACCCAAGACUACCCCCUAGUUGUCAUACGGUGCUUAAAAUCACAAGUGAUCCCAAGCUAACCCAUGAACUGGCAUACUGUUAAGCAACUGAAUUAUAACUUAAUAAAUAGUUGUUCUGUUGUGCGGAAAUAUAAUCAUACUGAGAAUUUAAAAUAGAUAUAAUACUGAUAAAGCUUUACAAUCUGAUAAAUCUAAAGAAUGAAACUGGAAUUUACAUGACUGAUUUUGACUAACAUUUAUGAAACAUAUACUAUAUUGACUAUAGAUAGCUGAAACAUACCUCCAACUACCACUAAUCAAUACACAUGAAAGUAAAUGAACUGUACAUUAACUAAAAUUGUCUGGAGUUUCUGAAGUAGGAGAACUCAUCACCUGCAGGCUGGAAUCUGUAACUGUCUGAUCGUGAUGUACGAGCUACAACUGGUACCUAAAUUAUGAAACAAUGUAGCCAUACAGACGUAUAUAUGGAUCAGUACUUUUGGAAUAUACUGAGUAUGCAGGGGUGAAUACAAUAAGUAAAACUGAUUUCAUAAGUAAUCGUAAAACAUGCAUGCUAAGUGUAAGUAGACUCACUAAUAGGCUGGAAUAAACUGAAAACUAAAAUAUCUUAAAGCAUGAGUGACAAACAUUCUCUAAUAAGAUGGUGAAUCUCUACACUUAGUUUAUGUAAAACUAUACUUUAAUGAUAUAAGUAUAACUAAAGUUGGGAUAUGAUAAAACAUAGAUACUGUAUAAAUAUUGGGUCUGAAACUACGUGAUGGAGACUGACAUAAAUUGAGGAUCUGAAUAUACAAUCACACUUAGCACGAAUGUAUAAAUAUACUAACUUAUCAAAUUAACUAAAUGACUGAUUGCUGAAUACUAGGCAUGUAAGACUGAAUUGUACUUAGUCUAAAUAACUAGACUGAAACUGUACAGUAUUAUGCAUAUGAGAAAGGGACUGACUGAGUAACAUGAGAUAACUGAGCAUGAAUUUGUGAAGACUGUAUUAUCUGAGAAUGCAAGACCAAGUGUACAACAUGAUUCUAAAGGUACUGAAAUACUGAUAAUUGAAUAACUGAUAACUGUACGCUAUAGUCAAGCAAACUUGAAACUGAACUGAGUUACUAAUCUGAUUACUGGACUGAGACCGUGAUUGAAACUAUUACUAAGAUGGUAACUGAGACUGUACUAGAACUGAAAACUGUUUUCUGAUAACUGAGUAACUGAUAGCUGUAAUUACUGAUAACUGAGUUACUGAUAACUGGGUGACUGUUUUUGAUAGUCUUAAUUCUGUCUAAAUUUAGUUCUAUACUGAGACUGAAACUGAAAUUGUGGAAGGUAAUCAUCUAACCGACAUACCUCUCUAUGAACUGAUUGGGGUCCAACCUCUAACUCUAGUUGGAAGGGUGUCAGUACCAUGCCAUGGCUAAAGACAAGCUGAAGAGUCACCCUUAAUAUAGUAGGUGCUUUGAAUGAGAAUGAUGGUACCCUCAAUCUGAAAGGUAAAACACCUCAUCAACCCUCAAUCUGGCAGGUUGAUAUCUCAACCUACGCUGGCUAUGUAGUUUUGGAACAUAAGGACUGCUUCUAAGGAUCACACCCUCUACUGUCAGGUGAGUCCCUAUCCCUGGGUUCACUUGGUGCUGAAUCCUACUCUCAACUGAAUAGACACUAAACUAAUUUCUAAAUUGUAUUAGGCUGGACUGAACUGUGACUGAUCGUGUUCACUGACUGAAUUGGACUGAGUUCACUGAGUUUUGAUGUCUGACUGAAUACACUGAGUUCUGUACUGAUUGAAUAAUGCUGAUCGUGAUGUUUCUGAGACUAUCUUGUAACUACUGUAGCUCUAGGUUAGCAACUAGAUUUUUGGGUAUUAAAUACCCUCGAUAAUAUUGAAAGUGAAACAUGCGAUGAUCAUAAUAACAUAACAAUAGUAGCUUCUUAACAAUGCUUUCAUUUAGACAUUUUCUUAAACACUUAAAAGGCAUGGACUUGUACAUGAAUGAGACCACAUGAUAACAUGUCAUGACAAUGAACUUGAACAUGGGAAUAUCUUAAACAUAGGAGUAUAGCACGAUGACAUAACUAAGAUCAUGAAUUGGGGAAUUCACAUGUAAUUCACUUAAAAUAAGACAUGAGCGUUUCAUCAAAACAUGUAAAGUUCAUAGCUUGAACGUAAGAAUGUCUUAAACAUAAGGGAGCAAUAGAGUUACAUGGCUGUAAUGCCCUAAAAUCUAAUUUUCGAGACGCCACACGGUGCUCCGAACUACAAGUAGUCCUGAGUUAACCCUUGCCGCUUUCUACUAAAUCUGAAUCUCAAAAUUGGGAAAAAUGAAAUGAAAACAUCAUAAAUGCGAAAAUAUUAUCUGAAACAUACUAAUCUCACAAGUCUUGGUAAAACAAUGCUGAAAAAUCUUGAUACGGAAUUAAAAGUCUAAACUGAAUCUAGUAGUCUGACAAGCCUCUACUGAAUGAAUCUAGAGAGUCACUAGGACAGACCCCAGCUGACUCAAAACUAUCUGAAAUGAAUACUAAAUUAUCUACUAGAUAAAAGGAAAGUCUGAAUAGCUAAGUCCUCGAACUAUGGGGGCUCACCAACGGUAGAGAUGUAGAUGAGAUACUCGAAAAUCACUCACGCUGCUGAGACUGAGCACCUGAACCUACAUUAUAAGACAAUGUAGCACAUAGACGUAUAUGUAGAUCAAUACUUUGAUGAUGUACUGAGUAUAUGGGGGUGAAUGCAAUAAGUAAACAAUAUCAUCACAAUUUAUAAAGAAAAUUAUGCAUGCUAAAUGUAAAUAACUCACAUGGGUUUGAGUAAUCUGAAAUCUGAAGAUCAUAAAUCAUGAACAACAAAGCAUAUAAAAUAAAUCUUGUGAGUCAUUACAUUCAGUUCUAAAAUUUGUUCUUUCUGAAAGCUACUACAUUAUCUUAUCAAUUUGUAAGGGGAAUAUUUCAUCUCAAGACUUUAGGAAUCUUAAAAUCAUAGCUUUCAAAACAUAUUUUUUUAUCUUAAGGCUUUACGCCAAUAGACUAUUUUAAGAGUAGGAAACAUCUUAUUGGGAGGUUCUUCUAAUUGACAUACAUCACGUGAGCAUUCAUGGAUCCCCACGUCUUGCCCCCGUUGGGUAGGGUUGUUCUACCCUUGCCAUCGGAAUAGAACUUUUUAUCUUAUGUGAUCACAAUCUUAGUCAUCCACGUAGAAGUGGAAAUAAUCUUAAUCCUAUGGUGGCACGUAGUUCUGGGGUAUGAAAUGUAGUAACAUACCCAUCUCGGAGCUAAAUAAUACUCCCAUUCUUAUGCUCAGGAUCUUAAGGAAUCCACCUCAAAAAAUAUAGCACAAGGGUUUACAAGGAAACAAAUUAUGUUCUUUCUUUUCUUUAAAUCUCAAGUCUUAUGAACAAUGUGGAUUCUUUAUCUUACCUUAGGACCAAAAAGUCAAAUCUUUAUAAAAAAAUCUGAGAAUAGUCUUAUCUUAGGAUACUCAUAGCAUAAACAACCUUGAAACAACAAGCUUUAAUUAGGGCUUAAUGACCCAUGCAUCAAACUCAUGUUAAAACACCAAAAUGCUCAUACUUGAUAAUGUAAAUAUUGAUAAAUCAACUCAAAAUCUGGAAGUUUCAGCAAUGUGCAUGAAAAUAUGAACAUAACCAUGGAAUUUAACUUCUAAAUAGUUGGGAAUCUCAUAAGCUUGUAAAUAACAAUGAUGGGUAUAAACCCUAACUUGAAUUUCAUGAAAAAUCAUAUAAAUUUCAGUAAAAUUUAAAUUUAAAAUAAGUUUUUGGCACAAGGAUGAAAGGAUUAUCCUUGUUCAUACCCCACAUACCUUAAUUGAUGAUCUUUGAUGAAAAACUUGAAUCUUGGAUUCCUAUUGAUGCUUUGGAAAUGAAUUCUUAAAGCCCUUGUAUUGGGAAUCUUCAAUCUUGAAUUUCUUUGGAGAAUUAAUGGAGGAAUUUGGAUUUCUUGGGGAGAAAGUUUGUUGAACUAGGGUUUUGCUUGAGAGAUUUUAGAUGAAAAGUGAAUGUAAAGUGCUUUGAAGGGGUUUAAUUCAUUGUUUAAGACGGAUUAGGGAAUGGGAGAAUGACCAAAGUACCCCCUUUAAUCUUUGAAACGAAACUGGAAAAACCAAACUUUUUGCGAACUGGGUGGCCACCGCGACGCGCCACUAUCGUGGUGGCUCACUGAAAAUGGAUGAGUGGGAACUAGGCUUUCACCGUGACGUGCCACAAUCGCGGAGCCCUAUAGUUUAUCAUUUUGGCCACUGGCGCGACGCGCUAGUAUCGCGAGGUCUCACUGAAAAUUACCAAACAAAAAAUUGGGCCACUCCGCGAUGUGCCAAAAUUGCAAAGUCUCACUGAAAAUUUACAAUUGUGAUUUUACGCUUCUCCGCGACGCGCUAAGGGCCCAAAUUAUGGUGUUUUACGAUUGAAACUUAAAAUAGUCAUAACUUCUUACUUGGUUAUUGGAUUUAGGCGAAUUUUAUAUCGUUGGAAAGCUUAUUCAAUUUUCCAUACAAUGGGAGGUCUAAAUCUGUAUAAUUUCACACGAAAUAAAUAGUAUUCAUUUUGGAAGCUAUCCCUUAACAUUCUAGGAACGAAUUUAAGCUACAAAAAGUAUGGGGUAUUACAAUGCAAAGUUCAUAGCACGGGGAUUCAUCUUGAAAUUGACUUAAUCAUGAUAUGGAAAUUCCAUCAAACAUGUAGAUGACACGAAUUUAAAACAUGGGAAUAUUGCUAAACAUCAUGAAUUUAGAUUCCAUCAUGGAAUUUUUUUGAAUAAAGCAUGGGAAAUUCAAAUUCAUAGCAUAAGGAAUUUAAAAUCUUGCAUGGAAUUACACAUAGGCUGAUUUGAAUUAAAACCACCAUGAAAACAUGAAAUUCAAUCUUUCUUGAACAUACAAAAUACCAUAAUAAUGAAAAAUUUAUUCUUUAAUUAAAAGAAAAGAGUUUUUGGGCUCUAUGGGUGAAAGAAGACCCAUGGAUGAACUCUCACAUACCUUAAAGCUUUAAUCUUGAAGUAGAAACACAAUCUUGAAAGUAUUCUUGAAUUAGGAAAUUUGAGUUCUUGCUUUUCUUGAAGAAAAUUUGAUGAAGUUCUUGGUGUUCUUGAGGAGGCUAGGAUUUUUUUCUUUGAGAGAAAAGAUGAAUAGUUGAGUGUAUAUUACUUUUGGGGGUUGAAAUUAAGUGUUAUGAGCGGAUUUGGGUGAGGGGAAGUGGUCAAAGUGCCCCUAGACCCUUUAAAAACUGAAUCAGCGUGUGAGACAGUUCCGUAACGCGCAGGCCAACAUGUUGCGUCGCUAUCGCAUCGGCUUACCGCCUCACACAGAAAAUGUCAUAACUUUUCGUUCGGGUAUUGGAUUUAGGCGAAAUUGGUAUCGUUGGAAAGCUAAUUAAAUUAUCUACAAUUUAGUGGGUCUUGAGCUGUAAAAUUCUACGUAUAUAAAAAGUUAUACACAUUUAAAGUAUACCCUUGUAGAAUCAAAAACCAAACUUUGGAUGAAUCAAAGGCUCUAAGCUCAACUUUGUUCUAAUUGAUUCUUAUGAACAUUUUUUUCACCUCAAAAGCAAAUCAAACAUGAGAAUAAGGAUCAUGAAACUUAUAUUCACAUGGGAAUCAUUUAGAUUAUAGCUUAUACACGUAGGAAUGAUGGUUCAAAAACUAGCCUAAAAAUGCGGGGUAUUACAGAUUAUCUGAUCAGUCUGUGUCAAUACACUUUCGAUCUUCUCAAUGAAUUUCAUUGCUUUAACUACAGUUUUGUAUCCAUACCACUUGAUACUUCUGUUAAGUUGCUUGUUGACAUGGAUGCUCCACCCAUGGAUGCUUCUUCAUAUAGACGUCUUAUUAGCAAGCUCAAUUUUUUCAACAUACACGUCCUGACAUCUAUUUAGUUGUCCAACACUUGAGUCAGUUCUUAAAAAAAAACCAGGUUCCUCAUAUGAUGUAUGCUAUACAUGUGCUUCGGUAUCUUUUAACUUUCCCUGAUCAUGGUAUCUUAUUAUCCAAUUUCAGUGAUUUUUCUAUUGAUGCAUAUUUUGAUCUGGAUUGGGCUAGUUUUGUGAAUUCUUGCAAAUCAAUCACUGAAUUUUAUAUUACUUUGGGUGGUUGUCCUAUAUCAUGGAAGAGUAAGAAAUAACCUACUAUUUCCUUAUCAUCUGCGGAGGCUAAACAUAAGGCCUUCAUAAGGUCGUUGUUGUUGAGUUAUCAUGGCUUACGCAUCUUCUUGGUGAUAUGGGUUUUCCUAUUUGCUCUCUUAUUCUGGUGUUUUGUUAUUCUCAAGCCGCAAUUCAUAUUGCUAAGAAUCUGUAUUCCAUGAGCGUACUAAGCAUAUUGACAUUGAUUGCCACUUUGUUCGUGAUUACUUAUAUGAUAGUUUAAUUUCUCUUCAGUUUAUUCAUUCUGCAGAUCAACUGGUUGGUAUUAUGAUGAAAUCUCUUUCAGGAACUGCUCAUCAUCUUUUGCUUUCCAA
rnacentral:lncRNA from 1 species